GUUGUUUUCUGUUUUUAUGGCCGGCGAUAUAGGUAUUAUAAUGUCCAAUGAAAGGUAUUAACAAAUCCUCCAUACUGCUCGGUUUCUAUCGCAGGCAGUUGGCCACGUGCUUGCAGUGACGAUGCUUGCUGAGCUGCACAGUCUUUGGGGCGAUCGUGGCUCAAGAGUUGGGAGUUCGCCUUGUAAUCGGAAGGUUGCCGACAUACAUCGCCGCUUUACGUCAACUCCGAAGCCCUUUGGAACAGGGCCCUGUGCAGCACUGUUCAGCAAGAGCAGUGAGGUUUCAGUUGUAACGCUGCUUACAUUUGUCACAUGUUUUUUGCAUAUGCAAUAAUGUUGCAUAUUCCACAGCCCUACCCUGUCUUGACAAGUAAAUUUAAGAAUCUGUUUAGGACUUAUUUAGCUUAUUACUCACUUUGAAUUUUUUUUUAUUGAAACUAAGCUUCUGGCUUAUUGGUGUUAUUUUAGUCAUUAUGCAGCCGUAUUGUUUGUAAAGUUGGUGAAGCCUGCAGUCGGCUGAAACUGAAGAAGUCACAUAGAUAAGUGAUAAAAUGUUUCUACUAAACGCUGGGUCCAGAUGAACAGAAAUAAAUUUCUAGGAUCCGAUCAGUUACUACUCCAUGGUUGUUUUGUAUGUUAACAAGAACAAAAUAAGUGAAGUAGACUUACAGGGCUUGUUCAAAGAGGUUUUCAAACAUAUGGUUUUAACCAAAAAAGCAUGGGUGCUUUUCCUUAAAAAGUGCAAAAAAAGAAAGAAACAGGCAAUUGUUAAGAACGCCUUAGGUGAAGCAGUGUUAGAUAAACUAACAAAACACUGCUAUUAAAAAAACUAUUGGCAUAUAAAAGCUUCCAUUAAGCUGAAUAUUAUUUAUAUUAUUGCAUACAUAUGGUUGACAGAAAGUGACCUCUGUAGCUAUUUCCCAUUGAGGAUUGCAAAAGAAACCACAAAAACGAAUAAAACCAACUUACUGAUUGUUUGUACAUGUGCAGAGGAGGCAAAGUGGAUAUACUGGAUAAAGAAUGCUGAAUAUGGAG